rnacentral:rRNA from 1 species
UUGAUGGAGAGUUUGAUCCUGGCUCAGGACGAACGCUGGCGGCGUGCUUAACACAUGCAAGUCGAAC